CCCCACUGCUGCCCCUGUGGUCAGUGUCCAGCUGGACAGGGAGAGAAGAGGAUAGUUUGGGAAUACAGAGCUGGCCAGGAGCCUCUACACACAAGCUCGAGAGUUUCCCUGCUUCUUCAGCAGCCCCGUGGUGCUGAGGAUUUUCCCAAACGAUUCUUAUUUCCCCUUUCUCCGCUACCAGACUUUUCUUUUCUACCAAAUCAUGGAGAGGAGAGCCCCGAGCCAGCCCAGGGUGGCCUGGGAGGAGGACGGGGGUCCCCAGGAAAGCAGCUCCCCAGUGGAGCCCUACGAGGUGACAAUGGUGCAGCCCCUGCAGACGGCAACCAACCAAUGAAGCAACACGUGAGACAUGAAUCUCUCCAUCCCAUAGAAGAGAAAUGCACUACAGUUUGUCAGCAGCUGUUCCCAUUCAGAUUGGCUGAAAGGAAGGAAGAAGGAAGAAAGUGCAUGGAGACACUGUGGUUUUAUGGCUUGGAUUUACAAACCAUCAUGAGCAAAGCCAGAAAUUACACUUCCGCUCACAGAUGUGUAUUCAUCAAAGGCUGCACCAGAAGAUUUUCUAUCCAAAUUAGAUUAUUUACUGGGGAGCCACCGGGAACCCCGGAGCCAAGGUGGGAUUUGGGGGAAUUUGGGGAAUUUGGGGAAUUUUGGGGGGAUUUGGGGAGAAUUUGGGGAUUUUUGGGGGAGAUUUUGGGGAAUUUGGGAAUUUUUGGGGAAUUUUUGGGGAGAUUUUGGGAAUUCUGGGGAGAAUUUGGGAAUUUUUGGGGGAGAUUUUGGGGAAUUUGGGAAUUUUUGGGUCUGUUGAAAGGAUUUGGGGAAGAAUUUUGGAAUUUGGGGGGAUUUUGGGGGGAAUUGGGGAAAUUUGGGAGAAUUUUGGGGGUUUUUGGGGAAUUUGGGGGGAGAAUUUGGGGAAUUUUGGGAAUUUUGGGGAAAGUUUGGGGAAUUUUUUGGGUGAUUUUUCAGGGGAUUUUUGGGGAUUUGGGGUUUUUGGGUGGGAUUUUGGGAAUUUUGGGAUUUUGGGUGGGUUUGGGAUUUGGGGAAUUUUUGGGGGAAUUUUGGGAAAUUGGGGGAAUUUUUAGGGAAUUUUGUGGGAAUAUUUUUUAAUUUGGGGUUUUUGGGUGGGAUUCUGGGAAUUUUUGGGGAAUUUUUUGGGAUUUUUCAGGGGAUUUUUGGGGAUUUGGGGUUUCUGGGUGGGAUUUGGGGAAUUUUGGGAUUUUGGGUGGAAUCUGGGGGAUUUUUCACCCUCCC